rfam:Schistosoma mansoni strain Puerto Rico chromosome 6, complete genome
GCACUACUGAGGAGUCCCACAAUAGGACGAAACAGACGUCCAGUGC